UAAGUAAGACUUAAACCAACUCCCCAUUCU
rnacentral:piRNA from 1 species